GAGUUUGAUCGUGGCUCAGAUUGAACGCUGGCGGCAUGCCUAACACAUGCAAGUCGAACGGCAGCACUGGGAGCUUGCUCCCUGGUGGCGAGUGGCGGACGGGUGAGUAACGCGUAGGAAUCUGCCUCAUAGCGGGGGACAACUCGGGGAAACGUCGAGCUAAUACCGCAUACUACUCGAAGAGGAAAGCAGGGGACCUUCGGGCCGUUGCACUAUGAGAUGAGCCU
rnacentral:rRNA from 1 species